rnacentral:rRNA from 1 species
AGUGAACGCUGGCGGUAGGCCUAACACAUGCAAGUCGAACGGCAGCACAGUAAGAGCUUGCUCUUACGGGUGGCGAGUGGCGGACGGGUGAGGAAUACAUCGGAAUCUACUUUUUCGUGGGGGAUAACGUAGGGAAACUUACGCUAAUACCGCAUACGACCUACGGGUGAAAGCAGGGGAUCUUCGGACCUUGCGCGAUUGAAUGAGCCGAUGUCGGAUUAGCUAGUUGGCGGGGUAAAGGCCCACCAAGGCGACGAUCCGUAGCUGGUCUGAGAGGAUGAUCAGCCACACUGGAACUGAGACACGGACCAGACUACUACGGGAGGCAGCAGUGGGGAAUAUUGGACAAUGGGCGCAAGCCUGAUCCAGCCAUACCGCGUGGGUGAAGAAGGCCUUCGGGUUGUAAAGCCCUUUUGUUGGGAAAGAAAAGCAGCAGGUUAAUACCCCGCUGUUCUGACGGUACCCAAAGAAUAAGCACCGGCUAACUUCGUG